rnacentral:rRNA from 1 species
AGAACGAACGCUGGCGGCAUGCCUAACACAUGCAAGUCGAACGCUCACCGGGCUUCGGUUCGGUGGGAGUGGCGCACGGGUGAGUAGCGCGUGGGAACCUGCCCUGUUGUGGGGGAUAACCGAGGGAAACUUCGGCUAAUACCGCAUGCGCCCGGGGAAACCCGGGGAAAGAUUUAUCGCAGCAGGAGGGGCCCGCGUCGGAUUAGGUAGUUGGUAGGGUAACGGCCUACCAAGCCUUUGAUCCGUAGCUGGUCUGAGAGGAUGAUCAGCCACACUGGGACUGAGACACGGCCCAGACUCCUACGGGAGGCAGCAGUGGGGAAUCUUGCGCAAUGGGCGAAAGCCUGACGCAGCAACGCCGCGUGGAGGACGAAGGCUUUCUGAGUUGUAAACUCCUUUCAGCAGGGACGAUAGUGACGGUACCUGCAGAAGAAGCACCGGCCAACUACGUGCCAGCAGCCGC